AGAGUUUGAUCCUGGCUCAGGAUGAACGCUGGCGGCGUGCUUAACACAUGCAAGUCGAACGAAGCACUUUGGACAGAUUCUUCGGAUGAAGUCCUUAGUGACUGAGUGGCGGACGGGUGAGUAACGCGUGGGUAACCUGCCUCAUACAGGGGGAUAACAGUUAGAAAUGGCUGCUAAUACCGUAUAAGCGCACGGUACUGCAUGGUACAGUGUGAAAAACUCCGGUGGUAUGAGAUGGACCCGCGUUGGAUUAGCUAGUUGGGAGGGUAACGGCCUACCAAGGCGACGAUCCAUAGCCGGCCUGAGAGGGUGGACGGCCACAUUGGGACUGAGACACGGCCCAGACUCCUACGGGAGGCAGCAGUGGGGAAUAUUGCACAAUGGGGGAAACCCUGAUGCAGCGACGCCGCGUGAGUGAGGAAGUAUUUCGGUAUGUAAAGCUCUAUCAGCAGGGAAGAAGAAAUGACGGUACCUGACUAAGAAGCCCCCGGCUAACUACGUUGCCAGCAGCCGCGGUAAUACGUAGGGGGCAAGCGUUAUUCCGGAUUUUAUCUGGGUGUAAAGGGAGCGCAGGCGGCAGUAUAAGUCUGAUGUGAAAGCCCGAGGCUCAACCCCGGGGCUGCAUUUGAAACUGUUGUGCUGGAGUGUAGGGAGAGGUAAGGGGGAAUUCCUAGUGUAGCGGUGAAAAUGCGUAGAUAUUAGGAGGAACACCAGUGGCGAAGGCGGCUUACUGGACGGUAACUGACGUUGAGGCUCGAAAGCGUGGGGAGCAAACAAGAUUAGAUACCCUGGUAGUUCCACCCCGGUAAACAGAUGACUACUAGGAGUCGGGGCAGCAAAGCUGUUCGGUGCCGCAGCAAAACGCGAUUAAGUAGUCCACCUGGGGGAGUACGUUCGCAAGAAUGAAACUCAAAGGAAUUGACGGGGACCCGCACAAGCGGUGGAGCAUGUGGGUUUAAUUCGAAGCAACGCGAAGAACCUUACCUGCUCUUGACAUCUCCCUGACCGGCAAGUAAUGUUGCCUUUCCUUCAGGACAGGGAUGACAGGUGGUGCAUGGUUGUCGUCAGCUCGUGUCGUGAGAUGUUGGGUUAAGGUCCCGCAACGAGCGCAACCCCUAUCUUUAGUAGCCAGCGGUUUGGCCGGGCACUCUAGAGAGACUGCCAGGGAUAACCUGGAGGAAGGCGGGGAUGACGUCAAAUCAUCAUGCCCCUUAUGAUUUGGGCUACACACGUGCUACAAUGGCGUAAACAAAGGGAAGCGAGAUUGUGAGAUGGAGCAAAUCCCAAAAAUAACGUCCCAGUUCGGACUGUAGUCUGCAACCCGACUACACGAAGCUGGAAUCGCUAGUAAUCGCGGAUCAGAAUGUCGCGGUGAAUACGUUCCCGGGUCUUGCACUCACCGCCCGUCA
rnacentral:rRNA from 1 species